rnacentral:misc_RNA from 1 species
GAGCGUGAUAUCUUCUCACCGUUGGUGGAUUUGUUUCUAAAUAUCAUGCCACAGUGAAGUCUACGC